UAGGGAAUCUUCCGCAAUGGACGAAAGUCUGACGGAGCAACGCCGCGUGAGCGAUGAAGGCCUUCGGGUCGUAAAGCUCUGUUGUUAGGGAAGAGCAAGUAUCGGAGUAACUGCCGGUACCUUGACGGUACCUAACCAGAAAGCCACGGCUAACUACGUGCCAGCAGCCGCGGUAAUACGUAGGUGGCAAGCGUUGUCCGGAAUUAUUGGGCGUAAAGCGCGCGCAGGCGGUCCUUUAAGUCUGAUGUGAAAGCCCACGGCUCAACCGUGGAGGGUCAUUGGAAACUGGGGGACUUGAGUACAGAAGAGGAAAGCGGAAUUCCACGUGUAGCGGUGAAAUGCGUAGAGAUGUGGAGGAACACCAGUGGCGAAGGCGGCUUUCUGGUCUGUAACUGACGCUGAGGCGCGAAAGCGUGGGGAGCAAACAGGAUUAGAUACCCUGGUAGUUCACGCCGUAAACGAUGAGUGCUAAGUGUUAGAGGGUUUCCGCCCUUUAGUGCUGCAGCUAACG
rnacentral:rRNA from 1 species